CCUACGGGAGGCAGCAGUGGGGAAUAUUGGACAAUGGGGGGAACCGUGAUCCAGCCAUGCCGCGUGUGUGAAGAAGGCCCUCGGGUUGUAAAGCACUUUCAGUGAGGAAGAACGCCUGGUGGUUAAUACCCAUCAGGAAAGACAUCACUCACAGAAGAAGCACCGGCUAACUCCGUGCCAGCAGCCGCGGUAAUACGGAGGGUGCGAGCGUUAAUCGGAAUUACUGGGCGUAAAGCGCGCGUAGGUGGCUUGAUAAGCCGGUUGUGAAAGCCCCGGGCUCAACCUGGGAACGGCAUCCGGAACUGUCAAGCUAGAGUGCAGGAGAGGAAGGUAGAAUUCCCGGUGUAGCGGUGAAAUGCGUAGAGAUCGGGAGGAAUACCAGUGGCGAAGGCGGCCCUCUGGACUGACACUGACACUGAGGUGCGAAAGCGUGGGUAGCAAACAGGAUUAGAUACCCUUGUAGUC
rnacentral:rRNA from 1 species